rnacentral:rRNA from 1 species
AUGUAUACUCACAGCCCAGUCACUUUUGAUCUGCCCAAUAUGCUGCUGACUGUCAAACAAAAUCAUGAGCACUUGAUCACUUUUAUUGAUGAAAGCUUGCCCACUAGCCCUUCUGUUCCUAUACUCCAGGAUAUGGAGUACAUUCUGGAUGAUGUGCUAACUGGAGCACUAAUGUGGAUGCAACCAAUCCAACAAACAAUGGAAGACUUGCAAGAGUAUCAACCAGAUCUGUCCAAGUUACUGGGGGACUUUAAAGAUAUAUUCCAAGAACCAAUGGGCUUACCUCCAAAGAGGGAAUGUGAUCAUGCCAUCAAUUUAGAACCAGGAGCUCCUGUCAUCAACCAAAGAUGCUAUAGAAUGCCACAUCAGCAGAAAAAUGCACGGGAGAGUAUAAUCAAGGAGCUAAUUGCUAAAGGAAUUAUCAGAAUCAGUACAAGUCCCUACUCUUCCCCUGCUAUCUUAGUAAGAAAAAAGGACUUGUCCUGGAGAUUAUGUGUGGACUACAGGAAACUCAACACAUAUACAAUCAAAAACAAAUAUCCAAUACCCAUGAUUGAAGAUCUAUUAGAUGAACUGCAUGGAGCUACUAUUUUCACCAAGAUUGAUUUAAGGAGUGGUUAUCACCAGAUCAGGAUGAAGGCAGAAGACAUUGAGAAAACUGCAUUCAGCACACACAUGGGACUGUUUGAGUUUUUGGUCAUGCCUUUUGGAGUGACAAAUGGCCCUCCCUCCUUUCACCAACUUAUGCAUUCUGUGUUGGGCCCACUUCUCAGAGAAUGUGUAUUAGUAUUCUUUGAUGACAUCUUGGUUUUCAGUAAAACAUACAAAGAUCACCUGGAGCAUUUGGCAAUGGUUUUCAAGGCACUUAGAGAGCAUAGCUUGUAUGCAAAACUCUCUAAAUGUACUUUUGCACAAGAAAAAGUGGAAUAUCUUGGUUAUGUGAUCACUGCCAAGGGAGUUUCAACAGACCCUGCUAAAGUGAAAGCUAUUAACAAUUGGCCCCAACCAGAAAAUGUCACCCAGUUGAGAAGUUUUCUUGGGUUGGCUGGCUACUACAGGAGGUUCAUCAGAAAUUUUGGAAUUAUCUGCAGACCUCUCUUUGAUGCUCUGAAGAAGGACAUUUUUCUCUGGUCUGAAAAACAAGAAACUGCUUUCCAACAGUUAAAGACAAGCAUGACAGCAGCACCUGUGUUUAGCACUCCCAGAUUUCAACGGCUAUGGAGUGGGAGCAGUACUCAUGCAGAAGGGGCAACCCAUUGCUUUCCUCAGCAAGGCAAUUGGCCCCAAAGCUGCUGGAUGGUCCACAUAUGA